ensembl:lncRNA
CACAUCUCCAACAACUGCUGUGAAAGAGAUCUAAUACGUCCAGAGGAAAUACCUGCGGUAUCCACUCAUCCUUCUGCUGCUUCCUCAUCCCAUUCUGAUUACGUGGUAAUGUUGGAGUGGUUAAUUGAGCAGUUAUGGAGCAUGAAGUACAGUAGAAUGAAUAGAGAGCCCAGGAGUGCUACCAAAGAAAAAAAAAAAAGAUGCAAAAAGGCACUGUAAGCUUCUGCAGAUAAUUAAGUUCCACAAAUAUUGUGAAUCUGUUAUGGGACUUCAGUUCUGAGGACAAGACAGGCUCACAAUUGGGGAUUUCAAAUCCUAUGCGAGACCUCUGCACCCUGAGAGCCAGACAUUGGGGUUCCCAGUGAGGCUGUAUUGCAGAGCUGUCUGUACGCUGCCUCCAGUGACAAGGCAGCACUGGGAAAACUUGGCAAGGCCAAACAGCUGACAAGCACAGACUUCAAAGCAGAAGGUGGCAACUGAAGGUGUUGGGACAGAUGAACAGAAGAGAGAAGACUGUGCCCAACUCAGCAAGGUGCUCUCAAGAACGAAGACUUUGGAGAAUUUAGCCAAUUUGGCAAUGAAGACAAAUAACAAAGCUAAUAAACAAAAUAAAGCUGGAGACUGCUCCUUUUUUUGAGGGGCACCUGACCCAUUCAGUUUUCUUGUGCUCUGCCAGGCUGAGCAGCAGCAGUGAACUGGGCGGAUCCCAUCAGCUCUUCUGAUGGGGAAGUGGAUCUGCAGAGGAGCAGAAAGGUGGGGGAAAAGCCAAUAAAGCCUGGGAACUAAAAAGGUUCCUAGCAUCAGCCACGAUGAAGAUCUUCAGCCAAGCACACAAAUAAAAUCAAAAUGAAAAUCAAAUUAUCCUGUUUCUUACUUCAACUGCUGUAUACAUUUCUCACAUAGCAGUUGACACUUGAGCUAUAGUAAAUUUAGCAACGAGAUUUCUCUGUUUAUAGCAAUAUCAGUCCAGUCUGGAUAUGUAAAUGAUACAUCAUAAUAAUCCAGAAAUGAUUACAGCAUUUAAUACAACAACAUCAUAAAAUGCAGAGCAGUUCUCUUCUGUGCGAUCAGUCAAGUGCAGAUGGGUAGGUGUUCAACAGCUACUUGAAAUGAGUAUAUGUAACUACAGACAGCACUGCCCAUGAAAAUAACAAAAAAGAGACAGUUGAAAGUCUUGUGCUGCUUGGUGCCUGUUUCUGAAAUGGUUUCUUGUCAAGAACUUUUCUCCUGCUUUUUCUGGUAGUCAUGAACUUUCGUGAACAGCCAUGCUUUUCUUCCAGGGAGAUCAUGGCUCCCAGGAAUUGGGAGCCAUGCAAUUGGGCUCCCAGUGAACCUGAUGGUAGAGACACGUUCCUUACACACCUGUGCAAAAGCCAGCAUUUUCUUUUCAAAAUGAAAAUGUCAGGGCAAGGUUAUGGUUUAAUAUGUACUUUGGAGAUCUAGACAUUGUACCUCCACUGCUCAAGAGACAGGCAAGGUCUGCUCCAUAGGUUAAAGAACUUUCUGCCUCCCAUGAUUAAGCUGGGCUGAUGUGGAAGAAGGAAUAUGAAAUUUAUGGCUCCACAAGGAGUUUACACAAAACGCAAUACAGCCCAUUGUAAGCCUCUAACUCUUUUGGGCACAAGUACUCAACUGGGAGCAUGGGGAUGCAAUGUCCUGACCUAUGCUCCGUAGAGCAAAGGCUCUAGGACUCUAUCACAAACAUUCAAUUACAGUCUGUCUGUCAAACUUUUUCUCUGUUCCAAAGUGAGCAAAUCUCUCACUGCUUUCUAAAGGAUGGUCAGUUUCAACAGGCUAGUGAAAGUGUCCACUUCUAAGAAAAGAUCAGCAUACCUCCCCCUUCCCC